AACAAGUUUUUAUGAGGAACCUGCAUGAUCUUGCACAUGAAGUAAUUCUUUUUAAACAGUUUCUUCUCUGGACGACGUUACAAGUACAGGCAAGCGGGUGUCAACGGUUUUUAUUGCUGUAAGUUGUGGUGUUGUGGAUUCACCAGUGCGGAUCGAACAGCACCGUUUUCUCCAGCCCCGAUUCUACCAUAUCGAGAUGGUGUACAAGGAGAUGCGCAAGUGUAUUCCACAUCUUGAGGGAGAUGCAAGAUAUGCUUCCGCGAUCCUUGCUGCAGGUGUUCAAAUAAAUGAUUUAAAGUUUCA